rnacentral:rRNA from 1 species
UACGUAGGGACCAAGCGUUGUUCGGAUUUACUGGGCGUAAAGGGCGCGUAGGCGGCAAAUUAAGUCAGCUGUGAAAUCUCCGAGCUUAACUCGGAACUGUCAGCUGAUACUGAUGUGCUAGAGUGCGGAAGGGGCAAUCGGAAUUCUUGGUGUAGCGGUGAAAUGACGUAGAUAUCAAGAGGAACACCUGAGGUGAAGACGGGUUGCUGGGCCGACACUGACGCUGAGUGCGCGAAAGCCAGGGGAGCAAACGGG